rnacentral:rRNA from 1 species
GAUGAACGCUGGCGGCGUGCCUAAUACAUGCAAGUCGAGCGAACAGACGAGGAGUUUGCUUCUCUGACGUUAGCGGCGGACGGGUGAGUAACACGUGGAUAACCUACCUAUAAGACUGGGAUAACUUCGGGAAAGCGGAGCUAACAUCGGAUAAUAUAUUGAACCGCAUGGUUCAAUAGUGAAAGACGGAUUUGCUGUCACUAAUAGAUGGAUCCGCGCCGCUUGAGAUAGUGGGUAAGGAAACGGCUUACCAAGGCGGCGAUGCGUAGCCGACCUGAGAGGGUGAACUGCCACUCGGAAAGUGAGACGCGGUCGAGACUCCUGCGAGGGGCAGCAGUAGGGAAUCGUCCGCAGUGGGAGAGAGCCUGACAGAGAAGCGCCGCGUGAGUGAAGAAGGUCUUCAGAGCGUAAAACUCUGUUAUUAGGGAAAAACAAGUGUGUAAGUAACUAUGCGCGUCUAGACGGUACCUAAACAGAAAGCCGCGGCUAACUACG